rnacentral:lncRNA from 1 species
CUUCCAUCCCUCCCACCAUGUGAGGGCACAGCAUCCUCUUGUGCAGCAACAGGGCACCAUCAGGUGGAUGCAGGAGGAUCCGGUAAUGGGGCACCAUCUUGGAAGCAGAGAGCAGCCACAUGCCAUCGCCAUGAUUUUGAGCUUUACAGUCUCCAGAACUGGAAAUAGUUGGAUGAUUAAUGAGAUAAUGAAUGUGAGGAGAACUCCCUGGAGGAAAGACAUUUCACAAACAUGAAGUGAAGACUCUGGCUGACUCACUGAUUUCAGCAGCUCAGAGGGUGGGAGGCAGAGAAGUACGCAGGACAAACUUGGAAUUGAAUCACUUGUAUAAUGUAGCCAGGAGCUGCUUUGCUUGGGUUUUCAUAGUCUUUCAGAAUAAAAAGUCCUAUCCCAGAACCACUCCCUUUAAAAUAAAUUGAUGUUUUCAGUGUCUGAAGCUUUUCUAGGAGAAUGGAAAUGAACUGGUAAAAUUUUAAAAAGCCAAAGGCAAAAGAGAAAAACUAACAGCUGGAAGAAUUAAAUGAAUACUAUAUCCA